AUAAUUGAUAUAGAUAAAGUGCUCUAUGCUCUACUAGGAUAAUGCG
rnacentral:tRNA from 1 species